rnacentral:rRNA from 1 species
AGAUAGAGUUUGAUCCUGGCUCAGAUUGAACGCUGGCGGCAGGCCUAACACAUGCAAGUCGAGCGGUAGAGAGAAGCUUGCUUCUCUUGAGAGCGGCGGACGGGUGAGUAAUGCCUAGGAAUCUGCCUGGUAGUGGGGGAUAACGUUCGGAAACGGACGCUAAUACCGCAUACGUCCUACGGGAGAAAGCAGGGGACCUUCGGGCCUUGCGCUAUCAGAUGAGCCUAGGUCGGAUUAGCUAGUUGGUGAGGUAAUGGCUCACCAAGGCGACGAUCCGUAACUGGUCUGAGAGGAUGAUCAGUCACACUGGAACUGAGACACGGUCCAGACUCCUACGGGAGGCAGCAGUGGGGAAUAUUGGACAAUGGGCGAAAGCCUGAUCCAGCCAUGCCGCGUGUGUGAAGAAGGUCUUCGGAUUGUAAAGCACUUUAAGUUGGGAGGAAGGGUUGUAGAUUAAUACUCUGCAAUUUUGACGUUACCGACAGAAUAAGCACCGGCUAACUCUGUGCCAGCAGCCGCGGUAAUACAGAGGGUGCAAGCGUUAAUCGGAAUUACUGGGCGUAAAGCGCGCGUAGGUGGUUUGUUAAGUUGGAUGUGAAAUCCCCGGGCUCAACCUGGGAACUGCAUUCAAAACUGACUGACUAGAGUAUGGUAGAGGGUGGUGGAAUUUCCUGUGUAGCGGUGAAAUGCGUAGAUAUAGGAAGGAACACCAGUGGCGAAGGCGACCCCCGGACCUAAUACGACAUUCAGGUGCGAAAGCUGUAGUCCCC